UGACUNGAGUGCAGAAGGGGAGAGUGGAAUUCCAUGUGUAGCGGUGAAAUGCGUAGAUAUAUGGAGGANCACCAGUGGCGAAAGCGGCUCUCUGGUCUGUCACUGACGCUGAGGCUCGAAAGCGUGGGUAGCGAACAGGAUUAGAUACCCUGGUAGUCCACGCCGUAAACGAUGAGUGCUAGGUGUUAGGCCCUUUCCGGGGCUUAGUGCCGGAGCUAACGCAAUAAGCACUCCGCCUGGGGAGUACGACCGCAAGGUUGAAACUCAAAGGAAUUGACGGGGGCCCGCACAAGCGGUGGAGCAUGUGGUUUAAUUCGAAGCAACGCGAAGAACCUUACCAGGUCUUGACAUCCCGAUGCUAUUCUUAGAGAUAGGAAGUUACUUCGGUACAUCGGAGACAGGUGGUGCAUGGUUGUCGUCAGCUCGUGUCGUGAGAUGUUGGGUUAAGUCCCGCAACGAGCGCAACCCUUAUUGUUAGUUGCCAUCAUUAAGUUGGGCACUCUAGCGAGACUGCCGGUAAUAAACCGGAGGAAGGUGGGGAUGACGUCAAAUCAUCAUGCCCCUUAUGACCUGGGCUACACACGUGCUACAAUGGUCGGUACAACGAGUUGCGAGCCGGUGACGGCAAGCUAAUCUCUGAAAGCCGAUCUCAGUUCGGAUUGGAGGCUGCAACUCGCCUCCAUGAAGUCGGAAUCGCUAGUAAUCGCGGAUCAGCACGCCGCGGUGAAUACGUUCCCGGGCCUUGUACACACCGCCCGUCACACCACGAGAGUUUGUAACACCCGAAGUCGGUGAGGUAACCUUUUAGGGGCCAGCC
rnacentral:rRNA from 1 species